rnacentral:rRNA from 1 species
UACGGAGGAUCCGAGUGUUACCCGGAUUUAUUGGGUUUAAAGGGUGCGCAGGCGGAAGAUUAAGUCGGCGGUGAAAUUUUGCAGCUCAACUGUAAAAGUGCCUUCGAAACUGGUUUUCUUGAGUGUAGAUGAAGUAGGCGGAAUUUGUGGUGUAGCGGUGAAAUGCAUAGAUAUCACGAGGAACUCCGAUUGCGCAGGCAGCUUACUAAACUACUACUGACGCUCAGGCACGAAGGCGUGGGGAUCAAACAGGAUUAGAUACCCUGGUAGU